UUUGUCUGAAAAAUAAAUAAACUCUUAAAAACAGAAAUAAUACAGAGAAUAUUAGCAUGGCCUCUAUACAAGGAUGACACCCAAUUUCGUGAAGCACUCAUUCCAUAAUUUU
ensembl:snRNA U6 U6 spliceosomal RNA